rnacentral:tRNA from 1 species
UGCGGGGUGGAGAAGUCCGGUAUCUCGUCGGGCUCAUAACCCGAAGGUCCCAGGUUCAAAUCCUGGCCCCGCUA